rnacentral:rRNA from 1 species
GAAAUGAUAUGAAGAACUUGUUCAGUAUUUAGUAUUUUCAACAUUGCAAUGAGUGGCGAACGGGUGAGUAACACGUGGGAACCUACCUCUUAGCAGGGGAUAACAUUUGGAAACAAAUGCUAAUACCGUAUAAUAAUUAAAACCGCAUGGUUUUAGUUUAAAAGAUGGUCUUGCUAUCACUAAGAGAUGGUCCCGCGGUGUAUUAGUUAGUUGGUGAGGUAAUGGCUCACCAAGACAAUGAUACAUAGCCGAGUUGAGAGACUGACCGGCCACAAUGGGACUGAGACACGGCCCAUACUCCUACGGGAGGCAGCAGUAGGGAAUCUUCCACAAUGGACGAAAGUCUGAUGGAGCAACGCCGCGUGUGUGAUGAAGGGUUUCGGCUCGUAAAACACUGUUGUAAGAGAAGAAUGACAUUGAGAGUAACUGUUCAAUGUGUGACGGUAUCUUACCAGAAAGGAACGGCUAAAUACGUG